rnacentral:rRNA from 1 species
UAGGGAAUCUUCCACAAUGGACGGAAAGUCUGAUGGAGCAACGCCGCGUGAGUGAAGAAGGUUUUCGGAUCGUAAAGCUCUGUUGUUGGUGAAGAAGGAUAGAGGCAGUAACUGGUCUUUAUUUGACGGUAAUCAACCAGAAAGUCACGGCUAACUACGUGCCCG